ACCGUGCWAAGGUAGCGUGAUAAGUUGCCCUUUAAUUGGGGGCUUGAAUGAACGGACACACGAAAGUUUAGCUGUCUCUUUUAUAUUUAUGGAAAUUAAUCUUUAGGUGAAAAAACCUGAAUAGAUUCAAAGGACAAAAAGACCCCAUAGAGCUUUGUUUUAAUUUAUCUUUUUAAACACUAUAUUAUAGAACUUAUUUAAACUUAAUAAAAAACUUAACUGGGGCGGUUGAAGAAAAAAAAAACUUCUUUUAAAGCAUAAAACACAUAACGGUUUAACUAACCAACUAUUAAAAUUGAUCCUAAAUACCUAUAUAAUAUAUAAUGAACACUUUCUAUUAAUUAUUUAUUAGAAAACUAUUUAUCUUUAUUAGAUAUAUUUUAUUUAUUUUUGAUCAAAGGAAAAGCUACCUUGGGGGUAACAGAUUUAUCCUUCUUAAGAGUCCAUAUUGACAGAAGGGUUUGACACCUCGAUGUUGGCUUAGGGAAUCCAAAGGGUCAGCAAAASCCCUUAAUGGCAGGUUUGUUCAACCUUAAAAUCCCUACAUGAUCUGAGUUCAAA
rnacentral:rRNA from 1 species